CGCGCGGGACGGGCUCUCGCGCCCCGGCGCACGUCCGGGCGCCGAGACCCUGUCCUUGGGCCUCAGCCCGGGGUCUCCAGCAGUGAGCGAGGCAGCAUGUUGAGGCGCAGCUUGGAAAACCGGGAUGCUCAGACCAGACAACUGCAAGAUGCUGUCACCAAUGUGGAGAAACAUUUCGGAGAGCCGUGCCAGAUCUUUGCUGCUUACGUGCGGAAAACCGCCCGACUGCGAGACAAAGCGGACCUCCUGGUGAACGAAAUCAACGUGUAUGCCUCUACUGAGACCCCGCACUUAAAGCAGGGCCUGAAAAACUUUGCGGACGAGUUUGCCAAACUUCAGGAUUAUCGACAAGCCGAGGUUGAAAGACUUGAAGCCAAAGUAGUUGAACCUUUGAAAGCUUAUGGAACCAUUGUAAAAAUGAAGCGAGAUGAUCUCAAAGCAACAUUAACAGCAAGGAAUCGAGAAGCUAAACAGUUAACUCAGUUAGAAAGAACACGUCAGAGAAGUCCAUCUGAUCGACAUGCUAUUGUAUCCUUUGAAUUUUGGUCUUUAAAAAAAUAUUUUGUAAGAUAUGCUGUACAAAAGUAA